GCCAGCACUGGUCAGGCCGGUGACAAAGCCCCGCGGGGAGUGCCAGGAACUUGCAGUGCCCAGAGCCAGCAGGCCGCCGGCCCAGGGCACAGCAGUGCAUGGCCCAGAACUUCAUCUGAGGGCCUUUGUGGGUCUCCGGGAGCCUGUCCAGGAGCAUGCCGGGAACGGCCAGGGCGCUAUGGGGAAGCUCGGCAGGGGGGAGAAGCGCAAGCCUUUUUCCAAAGCGAAGGGACCCUAGUACGGCGGGUCUUGCCCGGGCAGGAUACGCUGAGCCGCAAGGUUCCGGGGCGCGCGGCUCUCUGCCGCCCUCUGCUGGCCGAAUCGAGAAUUACCGGAGCGUCAAGCCACCCGUCCGAGCCCCCCCGGAAGUCGUGGGCAAGGGCCACCCCCUCUUGCUCGCACUGAGAAAGGGAGACGAAGGAGGUCGUGUGGGACAUCCGCCUGCCCGAGGUCCAGCCGCAGACGUCUAUCACCAUCCUCCGUGUCGUGAUGCUUGCUCUUUCUGGAAGUCCUGUGUGUGGUCCAACCUGUGUGCUUCCUCAGCUUGCCCAGGCUGUCUUCGGAGGCCAUGCUCUUACACAACACCGAGAGAAAAUGAGGGCUCCCCCAACACCCCCAUGGCGACUGAGGGCCCCUCUUCCCUAACCCAGCGGCCUCUGAGAAUUGAGGGAUGUGCAGGAACUUUGCCCCCCUGCCCUCCAGCCGGGACCUUAGGGGUCUAACUGGACGAGAUCCGGAAGCCACCCCGCCAAACCCUCGGAGAGCCCUGCGAAGAGUCGGGCAUUGAGGCUCUUUUGGGGUCUUGGCUCCACCUUCUGGUAGCUACAGGAACUGCACCUCCAGGCUGUCCGGGCGGGAACUCCUGGACAUUACAACAGACUUCGAUGAAGCCUGGGGCCCAGCUCAGCUUGGCACACAUUAUCCCAUUCCAUCCUCACAGCAACCCACGAGGGGCCGUCAUUCAUCCCAUUUCACCUUUCAGGAAACUGUUGCUCCCUGAAAGUUAUGACUCGCCCCACAGCUCUCUGCCAAUAUGUGGCAGAGCCCCGACUCCACUUCCUUUGUAUUAACUGGGCUCUUACACCUGCACUGGGGCCCGGGAACAGCUCGCACUCUGAGGGUGAGGGAAUCUCCCAUCCUACUUCCCACGUCAAUCUUGGGAAGGCUCCAUCUUAGCUUAGCUUGCUUAAAUUAGUGUCUCCAUCCUCCCCUGAAGGUCUGAGAGGCCCUCCUGCCAGGGCCAAGACAAAUCUGUUUUCAUUCCAUUAUGGUUUGGAUCUAAAAUGUCUGCUGAAA